CCCAACAUCAACCGCCUUCUAUUUUUCACUCUCUUAUUGGGCAGUUGCCUUCGCCUCUUUCUCGCUCUCCAUAAACCCUAACAAAAACCCUCCGCUGAUUAGGGUUUUUUCCUCAUUUUCUCGUCUCUCCUCUUCACUGUUCGUUCCUAAAAGGGGAGAAAAAUGGGUAGCCUCCUUUUGAUCAGGAGAUCUUCUUCUUCAUCGAAGAGGCUCGCUGUCACUGCGCUCAGCCAUUUCUUCUAUGAGAAAUCGUCUGUAGUCUCUUCUCAUGCCACUAUUUCUCCAAAUAUUCGCGCCUAUGAAACUGGGACUGCUUUUUCUAAGCCUUCGCCUGUGUUUGAAUCGACAAGGGGUUUCCAUUCGGGCCUGGCUUUACGGGCUGGGUUUGCAGUGGCUGACUAUUCUGAUGCCGAAGAGAGAAGGGCUUCAAAUGGGUCUGCCGACGAGGGGCUUGAGAUCUCGAAGCUUGGGAUUUCGCAAGAUAUUGUAUCGGCCUUGGCAGGGAGGGGUAUCGAUAAGCUUUUCCCAAUUCAGAGGGCAGUCUUGGAACCGGCUAUGCAGGGUCGUGACAUGAUAGGUCGAGCAAGAACUGGAACAGGAAAGACGCUAGCUUUUGGGAUUCCCAUUAUGGAUAAAAUCAUUAAGUUCAAUGAGAAGCAUGGACAGGGAAGGAAUCCUUUAGCAAUUAUACUGGCCCCGACUAGAGAACUUGCUCGACAAGUUGACAAAGAAUUUGCUGAGUCUGCCCCAAGAUUAGAUACAUUGUGUGUCUAUGGUGGUGUUCCGAUAUCUCGCCAAAUGAGUACUCUUGACCGGGGUGUUGAUGUGAUUGUUGGCACUCCUGGCCGUGUCAUUGAUUUGAUCAAGCGUGGUGCCUUGAAUUUAUCGGAAGUUCAAUUUGUUGUCCUUGAUGAAGCUGAUCAGAUGCUUAAUGUGGGAUUUGCUGAUGAUGUUGAGACUAUCUUGGGAUACAUUACACAGAAGCAUCAGACAAUGAUGUUUUCAGCUACAAUGCCAAGUUGGAUAGUGAAGCUUACUCGGAAGUUCCUAAAAGACCCAGUUACCAUUGACCUUGUUGGAGAAUCUGAUCAGAAAUUAGCUGAUGGGAUUUCCCUGUAUGCAAUUACAUCAGACAUACGAGAGAAACCAGCAAUAAUUGGACCCCUGAUAACUGAGCAUGCAAAAGGAGGUAAAUGUAUUGUAUUUACUCAAACAAAGCGUGAUGCUGAUCGAUUGGCAUAUGCUAUGCAAAGGAGCUUUAGAUGUGAAGCGUUGCAUGGUGAUAUCUCACAAAACCAAAGGGAGAGAACGCUGUCUGCUUUUAGAGAUGGACGGUUCAAUAUUUUAGUGGCUACUGAUGUAGCUGCCCGCGGCCUUGACGUUCCAAAUGUUGAUCUGGUGAUACAUUAUGAACUUCCAAACUCAUCAGAGAUUUUUGUUCAUCGAUCGGGACGAACUGGUCGUGCUGGGAAGAAAGGUAGUGCAAUUCUCAUCUAUUCGUCCCACCAAUAUAGAGAGGUUAAGGCUAUUGAACGUGAAGUUGGAUGCAGAUUUACAGAGCUCCCUAAGGUAGCUGUUGAAGAUGGAGACUUGGACAUGUAUGGCAUGGAACAGGGUGGUCGGUUUGGUUCUGGUGGAAAUAGGGGAGGUGGUCGAUUUGGUGAUUCUGGGUUUGGACGUUCUGGUGGUCUCAGUGAUUCUAGGGGUGGUCGAUUUGGUGGAUAUGGAAAUUCUGGGGGUGGUCGUUUUGGGGGACCUGGUUCAGGUGGUGGAUUUGGUGGAUACGGAAAUUCAGGGGGUGGUCGCUUUGGGGGAUCUAGUUCAGGUGGUGGAUUUGGUGGACAGGGUUCGGGCCGCUCGGGCAAUUUUGGUGGUUUUGGUUCUGGGCGCUCAGGUGGUUUUGGAGACCUGGGUGGUUCAGAACGAAGCAGUGGCUUCGGAAGAGUUGGUGGUUCGAGUCGUUCAAGUGGUUUUGGGGAUUUUAGUUCAGAUCGUUCCAGUGGAUUUGGCCAUUCUGAAUCUGGGCAGACCUCCCGUUCAACCCGCUUUGAUGGAUUUGAUGACCAUGAUGGUGAUAACAAGAAUACAGGGAGGAGAUUUUUGUGAGGCUAUGGAAGUCUGACAUGACAGAUGCGGUGGGUGAUGUGAAGACUGCAAAGAUGCUAAUUGAGGACUGAAGUUUGUUAGGCAACUUGCAAGCUAACAUCCACCCAUAACCUGUCUGCUUCUGGGCUCAAAUAGUUGAUGGCCUGGAUGAUAUUGUUCAUGUAUCUUUUUGUCUGAAGGGAAAAUUUAGGGAUUAGCACCGAGCCUUAGGUGCUGCUUGAAAUCUAAUAUAUGUUAUCUGUUUUCUUUUUCUUAACAGUAUCUGCUAGUGUCAAUAGUUGCUCAUUUGGAGUGUGGGACAGUAUUCAGAAACCAGCGAUAAUUCUUUGCUUCAGAAUAUUUACAGAGUCGCCGUGUUGUACCUUGACAGCAUAUGUAAUGCUGAGAGAUUGUGGGCUAUGCAUUGCUUUCUACAUGUAUAAAAGAAUCAGCUAUAGGCUUAUAUGAAAUAGGUACUACAUAAUCAGACCAUCCGUGACCAUUGGAUGAUAAGGGGUGGGUGAUCUCCCCCCUCCCCGGCCACUUCAUGUAAUCCAGUGAUCCAUGACCAUUGGAUGAUAAAGGGUGGGUAGCCCUUCAUAAAAAAGGAUGGAGCAUGCAUGUUUUACACCACAAACUGAGAUGACUAGAUGCAAAAGUAGCCCAGAAAGGACCAGAAGGAUACAUAUUAACUUCGGAUCACGUCUUAAGCUACACGAAAUGUAACCAUACUAUGUCUUUAGUACUUAGAAUAGACACCAUUGUCUUCAACAUGCAUACUUGUCGGAUACCUAAUCCUACUUACACAGUUUCUUUCAUAA